AUGAGGUUACUUUGGUUUUGGAUGAAAAAUUCCAAACCAACCCUCCCACCCUAUGAAUACCGAUUUGAUUUUUUUUUGUAGACUUGAUAUAUUCUAUCGAUCUGCUUUCAAAACUCUAAAAUCACUUCGAGUUUUUAUCCUAUAACACGGAUAUAUAUAAUAUCGUGUUUAAUUGAUUGAACAAACA
rnacentral:misc_RNA from 1 species